rnacentral:rRNA from 1 species
AUUGAACGCUGGCGGCAUGCUUUACACAUGCCAGUCGAACGGCGGCGCGGGCUUCGGCCUGGCGGCGAGUGGCGAACGGGUGAGUAAUGCAUCGGAACGUGCCCAGUAGUGGGGGAUAGCCCGGCGAAAGCCGGAUUAAUACCGCAUACGACCUGAGGGUGAAAGCGGGGGACCGAAAGGCCUCGCGCUAUUGGAGCGGCCGAUGUCGGAUUAGCUAGUUGGUGGGGUAAAGGCUUACCAAGGCGACGAUCCGUAGCUGGUCUGAGAGGACGACCAGCCACACUGGGACUGAGACACGGCCCAGACUCCUACGGGAGGCAGCAGUGGGGAAUUUUGGACAAUGGGGGCAACCCUGAUCCAGCCAUGCCGCGUGCGGGAAGAAGGCCUUCGGGUUGUAAACCGCUUUUGUUCGGGAAGAAAUCCUCUGGGCUAAUACCCCGGGGGGAUGACGGUACCGGAAGAAUAAGCACCGGCUAACUACGUG